UGAGCAAUCUGCCCUUCUCUUCGGAAUAAGCGUUGGAAACGACGUCUAAUGCCGAAUACGACCUCCUUUCGCAUGAUCGGAGGUGGAAAGCUCCGGCGGAGAAGGAUGAGCUCGCGGCCUAUCAGCUAGUUGGUGUGGGUAACGCCCACCAAGGCGACGACGGGUAGCCGGCCUGAGAGGGUGACCGGCCACACGUGGGACUGAGACACGGCCCAGACCUCCGUACGGGAGCAGCGAGG
rnacentral:rRNA from 1 species